CUGUUUAUUUAUUUUUUCUAGGCGCCGGUGUAAAUUUCGACUGUCUGGAGUUUAUUACCGUGGAGGAAAUUAAGGAUGCGAUUCCGCCAAUCGGAAUUAGAGUACUCUUCCGCGAAAAGCUGUUCGCUUGGAGGAAAACAAAGUUUACUCAAGGAAUAUCUUUGCAACCAUCGUCUCCAAAGCCAUCGCCACAAAAGGCACCGCCAGCACUUUUAUCUCCGUUGCCGUCUAAUGCACCUAAAUUCAAAUACACUCUUAACAAGAUAUGAGUCUUUAAGUUCUAAUAAUUAUGUAUAUUUUCAGUAUAAUUGAUAACCAAUAACCUGAGUCUAACAUUAAUUAUAAUUACAAAUUUUUCAAAGAGCUUGAAUAAAACUUUAAGUGGAACGGCUGCUGGAAAAGAACUUCUAGCAUGUAAAAUACUGACUGAAAA